rnacentral:lncRNA from 1 species
GCCUGGGCAGCCCCUGGGACGUGCCAGGCUGGCCCCUGCCCGCCCUCACCGUGCCGUUGAUGCUCCACUGGACGGUGGGCCGGGGGAAGGCGAUGGCCUUGCAGGUCAGGUUGACCACCUCGUCCUGGCGCACGUGGAGCGGGGAGCUGAUGGCCACGAUCCGCGGCUUCCCUGGGGGCAGGGGACAGCAGCACCCACAGCUCUCAAUGGAAGGGGUGCUGGGCAGGCAGGGGACAGCAGCACCCACAGCUCUCAAUGGAAGGGGUGCUGGGUAGGCAGGGGACAUCAGCACCCACAGCUCUCAAUGGAAGGGGUGCUGGGCAGGCAGGGGACAUCAGCACCCCCAGCUCUCAAUGGAAGGGGUGCUGGGCAGGCAGGGGACAUCAGCACCCACAGCUGCUGGGGAAGGGGUGCUGGGCAGGCAGGGGUCACUCUGCACCCACAGCUCCCAGAGAAUGGGUGCUGGGCAGGCAGGGGUCACCCUGCACCCAGGGGUCACUCUGCACCCAGGGGUCACCCUGCACCCACAGCUCCCAGGAGAAUGGGUGCUGGGCAGGCAGGGGUCACUCUGCACCCACAGCUCUCAAUGGAAGGGGUGCUGGGCAGGCAGGGGUCACCCUGCACCCACAGCUCUCAAUGGAAGGG